CAAUUUCCCCCCAAAUCCCUCUCCUGUAGACGCACGAGCUUCCUCCCAAAUCCCACCCCAGUGCCGAGAGCGCCGCCAAAUUAACACCAAAACCACGGCGGCGCAGCUCAUCCAUCGCGGUGCCGCCCGCGCCCUCCUCAAGCCAUCGCCAUUGUAGGCGGCGGCGGCCUCCGCCGCUGCAGACUUGGGCUCCCGCGGCUGCCGCUACAGAGGCAGCCGCCGCCGCCGGCAGUGGCGUGGGCCUUGACCAACCGGCCGCCCUCGGUAGCUUCGGACGCACCGGAGGUCUCCGCCGCUUCGAUCCUCGCCCGACCCUGCUGCCCUCGACGGAUCCUAGCUAGCCUGCCGCCCUCGGUGGAUCCUACCCUGCCGCCCACGACCGAGACCAAUCUGCCGCAGCCAUAGACGUGUGCUUCAACUUCAGAAAGCAGAACCAAGGCUUAAUUAGGAUGACGAGUGGCUUCCACUCCCCAAAUUCUUAAGAGGUUCCGCAGCACUUCUACUGACUAUUGCAAAUGAGUCCGAACGUCCAUUGAUUAGACCUGAUGGGGACACGCACUGGUUAGAAUUACAUACAUUGAGAAAAAAAUGUCAGCAGGCCAAAUGGUGUGCUAACUGUCUGUCCAGACUACAAUGGAGAGUAGCCUUGGUGGUCUGCAUAAUUUCUUAUGGUGUGUAAAAAUUUCAGACCAUCGCAUCCCUUCAAGGAAUUCAAGGGCCUGAGAUUCCAUGUAUUGUUAUACCUCCACCUCCAGCUUUUUCAACAUUAACCACUUCGUUUCCGAUCUUUGCUCCAGAAAUGCCCUCCACAGGUCAAUCAACUAAUGGAGCAGAAGAUGGAAUGUUUGCUGGCUUGUUUGACGCAAACUGGAAAUUUCUCUCCACCUGGUGACGAACUACCUCCUUUUUGAGAUGUCUCUUGCGAUGGUGAAGGAAGUGGCAUAAUUUUUUUGCGUUGAUUAAUUGGAAGCCACUGCUUGUUACUAGGAUAUGCAUACUUAAUUAAGUGCAACCUGAACUUCUCUUUUUGGCCAUGCACAUGCUGAUGGUUGUGAUCUCUUGGAUCAGUGACUUACAUGAUUCAUAGUGUGUGUGACAAUCCUAUUUUGAUGACACUUUGUGAACUGUGGGGUACUUUUGUAAGCUCCUGGUUGUUGUCAUGUAAAAUGAUGAUGGUUAAUAUAUA